AGAAGGAAAGAACGAACCAGAUCCAGGAAACAAAGAGAUGACAACAGAUUGGUGGUGGUACAUUCGUCUGGUUGUGGGUUUUGCAUCAAUCGUAACAUUGGUUGUGAUUCUCAUCAGAUGGAGAAGAAACAAGAUCCAGGGUGGUGAUGUUGCAGUGGCCUUCAGCACUGUGGAAGCUCCCUCCUCUUCUACUGGACCCUCAGCUGAUCCCAGCAGCCUCUAUGAGAACGUCACAAUCAUACAAUAGUAGAGUCACAUUUGACAUCGAUAUAUUUAUAUCAGGAAUCAUUUGCUAAAACUUUCUGCUGUGAAAACAAAGUCACUUGUAAUAAUGUGAUUCUCAUUAGAUAGAAAAGAAACAAAGGUGUGAACAUUCCCAGAGGAAACUUUGAUUUAGUUUAAACUUCUGCCAAGGCCCGACUGUCUGUAAAGUUUGAUAUAAAAAGUCACUUUUAUCGUGUGGACUGGAUUUAACCAGUUUUCAGCCAUUUUAUUGAUUCUUGAAGUUUGUCGUCCAAAAGCUGGAAUAUUUUAUCUUGUAUCUUCAUGUUCUUCUGAUCCAGCUGUUAUUCUUAUACAUUACAAUGGUGACGUGUUAUUUGAUAGAAAAUUGUACUUUCUUGAUUCUUCCUGUUCUGGGUUUGUACCUCAUGGUUGAUGCUCUUAUUGUAAAUUGCUUUGGAUAAAAGCUUCAGCUAAAUGAAAUGUAAGGAAAUGUAAUGUAUGAUGAUAUGUUAUGAAUUAUUGUAUAUGAACCAAUGUGUUGUAAAAAGCCUUUUG